AUUUUAGUCAACUAAAAUCUUUUGAGAUUUAGUCAACUAAAACUAAAACAAUUCAGAGGACUAAAAUACGACUAAAACUAAAAUUUUUUUUUUUUUUUAGUCAAAAGACUAUGACUAAAACUAAAUUGAAAUUUGCUGCCAAAAUUAACACUGCACAGAGGGGGAGUGGAAGGGGCAAAAGAGACAGACCAGGACUUAGUAGAGAGAUACCUAGAG